rnacentral:rRNA from 1 species
GGGCCCGCACAAGCGGUGGAGCAUGUGGUUUAAUUCGACGCAACGCGAAGAACCUUACCUGGCCUUGACAUCCAGAGAGCUUUCCAGAGAUGGAUUGGUGCCUUCGGGAACUCUGAGACAGGUGCUGCAUGGCCGUCGUCAGCUCGUGUCGUGAGAUGUUGGGUUAAGUCCCGUAACGAGCGCAACCCCUAUCCCUGGUUGCUAGCAGGUAAUGCUGAGAACUCCAGGGAGACUGCCGGUGACAAACCGGAGGAAGGUGGGGAUGACGUCAGGUCAUCAUGGCCCUUACGGCCAGGGCUACACACGUGCUACAAUGGCGCGUACAGAGGGCUGCCAACUCGCGAGAGUGAGCCAAUCCCUUAAAACGCGUCGUAGUCCGGAUCGGAGUCUGCAACUCGACUCCGUGAAGUCGGAAUCGCUAGUAAUCGCGAAU